rnacentral:tRNA from 1 species
CUUCAAGAAGCUACCAGCAUCGGCCUUUUAAGCCGAAGAUGAGUAUAAACCCUCCUUGAAGACC